GAUGAACGCUGGCGGUAUGCUUAACACAUGCAAGUCGAACGGACUCUUCGGAGUUAGUGGCGGACGGGUGAGUAACGCGUGAGAAUCUGGCUUUGGGUUCGGGACAACCACUGGAAACGGUGGCUCAUACCGGAUGUGCCGAGAGGUAAAAGAGAAAUUGCCUGAAGAUGAGCGCGCGGCUGAUUAGCUAGUUGGUGAGGUAAAGGCUCACCAAGGCAGCGAUCAGUAGCUGGUCUGAGAGGAUGACCAGCCACACUGGGACUGAGACACGGCCCAGACUCCUACGGGAGGCAGCAGUGGGGAAUUUUCCGCAAUGGGCGAAAGCCUGACGGAGCAAUACCGCGUGAGGGAAGAAGGCUCUUGGGUUGUAAACCUCUUUUCUUAGGGAAGAACAAAAUGACGGUACCUAAGGAAUCAGCAUCGGCUAACUCCGUG
rnacentral:rRNA from 1 species